rnacentral:lncRNA from 1 species
GUGGGAUUAGGGCCUAAGUGUGGGGUUGGGGCCUGUGCUUGGGCUGGGGCAUGGAGCAGCCCUGGCCUUGCUCAAGGAAUUGCCCAGGAGUUGUAUGUAGGCCUGGCCUGAGGCUCUGGGCUGCUGGUGGGCAACUCCAGGGCCUCUGGUGUCCCCCCAAAGCCCCCACCCUAACACAUUCCACCUCUCCUGUGCUCCCUUCCACCUCACCACCUCAUUUUCCCCACUUCUCAGGAGCAUCCAACCCCUGAGAAGAAAGUCUGACAGCAUCCAAAGCAGCUUCCAGCUUCCCCAAGUGUUCACCGCGGCGUGGUGGUGAGGCACCAUGUUUGUUGCCAAAGGCGCCUGGACAUUGGUGGC